rnacentral:rRNA from 1 species
ACUAAGCCAUGCGAGUCAUUGUAGCAGUACAAGGCAGACGGCUCAGUAACGCGUAGUCAACCUAACCUAUGGACGGGAAUAACCUCGGGAAACUGAGAAUAAUGCCCGAUAGAACACUAUGCCUGGAAUGGUUUGUGUUCCAAAUGAUUUAUCGCCGUAGGAUGGGACUGCGGCCUAUCAGUUUGUUGGUGAGGUAAUGGCCCACCAAGACUAUUACAGGUACGGGCUCUGAGAGGAGUAGCCCGGAGAUGGGUACUGAGACACGGACCCAGGCCCUAUGGGGCGCAGCAGGCGAGAAAACUUUGCAAUGUGCGAAAGCACGACAAGGUUAAUCCGAGUGGUUUGUGCUAAACAGACCUUUUGUUAGUCCUAGAAACACUAACGAAUAAGGGGUGGGCAAGUUCUGGUGUCAGCCGCCGCGGUAAAACCAGCACCUCAAGUGGUCAGGAUGAUUAUUGGGCCUAAAGCAUCCGUAGCCGGCUCUGUAAGUUUUCGGUUAAAUCUGUAUGCUCAACAUACAGGCUGCCGGGAAUACUGCAGAGCUAGGGAGUGGGAGAGGUAGACGGUACUCGGUAGGAAGGGGUAAAAUCCUUUGAUCUAUUGAUGACCACCUGUGGCGAAGGCGGUCUACCAGAACACGUCCGACGGUGAGGGAUGAAAGCUGGGGGAGCAAACCGGAUUAGAUACCCGGGUAGUCCCAGCUGUAAACUAUGCAAACUCAGUGAUGCAUUGGCUUGUGGCCAAUGCAGUGCUGCAGGGAAGCCGUUAAGUUUGCCGCCUGGGAAGUACGUACGCAAGUAUGAAACUUAAAGGAAUUGGCGGGGGAGCACCACAAGGGGUGAAGCCUGCGGUUCAAUUGGAGUCAACGCCGGG